rnacentral:lncRNA from 1 species
AUUGCAAAGAGAAGCAUUUAUGGAGGUUUUUAAAAGGAGAGUUGGGUACUACGUUUUUGGUCCCAUCUGGAAUAUAAACCCAGGAAUGUCCUCAGCAGUGAGUGGUUCUGAGCUGGGCACGCUUUUCCUAAAAUGGUUUAUGACAGAGAAGCUGCGAAUCCCACUUGUUCUGUCCCGCCGUGCCAGGAACGUGAGUUUCCUCCAGUUGCUUGUGCCUGUUGCUUUCAAAUACCAAAGUUGUCGCCGUGGUUCAUCCCUGGUAGCAUCUGUGUGAAAUUCAGCCCUUGGGCAAGAGCUCUGACGGGGCUGUGAGAGCCGGGGCGGAGAGGAAGGAUGUUGUCUCCAAAAGGAGCUUUAUACCGAGGCCGAGGGGUAAGGAGGAGGCCACCCGCUUCUCCCGCCGGCCGCUUGCACACGGCAGCCUCUGGGGAGGAGGUAUCUCAGAAAGCGGCUCCGGUUUUGCCUGCGUUUAAGAGUCUCAGCUGUGGUUUUGUGGGCAGAAAGAUGAAUACUGUAACUCCAACGCCUCCCGGGGCGCCCUUUGGGGACGAUGCUCGUUGCAGCAGCUGGGACGUCGGGGCGGGGAGAAUCAUUGAUUUUCAGCCGUAUUACCUGGAAACCCGCAUGUGCUCGUCGCCCUCGGGAGGGAGGCGCACGGGGAGGAAGGAAUUUGCUGGAGACGAGAGCUCGGCUGGGAGCCAGCGGGCAGAAACGGCGAUCCUCCGUCAGCUUCGGCACCCUCGACCUCCCGGGGCUGAACCCAGGAGCCUCGCGCCGAGGUCUCCCCUCNNNNNNNNNNNGCUCUCCUGCUUCCUUGUCGCCUGAGAGCCGGAGGAAUUUCACGUGUCGCAAGCUGAGCUCCGCGGUGCUAGAGCAGCACAGCCAUCCCGGCCGCUGCCUGAAGCCCAAGUGGGGCGUCCAGCACCUUCGUGCCACUGCUGGCCGCGGGGACCGCACCGCAGCAGAGUGGGGCGGAGGGAAACGGCUCCUCUGGCAGCAAGGAAAAAACACCAAGACGCACAUGAACUAAUCCUCACGCACAGCAAGUACAAGAAGAGAAAGCACAGACAUAAAAGCAUCUCCUGUCGAUCCCUAGCUGUGUGGCAAAGGAAAUCCUGUACUAGUCUCUUAAAUUUUCUUUAACCUUCCAUAGUGCAAAUGGUACCUUAGCACAAAGCAGUCUCUCAUUACAGAAGUUUUUACAGUGAACAUUCAGCGUUCCCGAGUCAGAUGCUUCGCUCCGCUCCUGCCGUUUGGGAGGAAUCGCAUCUCCUCUUGCCAUCAGCUCCGGCCUUCGCGCUGCUCCUCGGCUCUGGCCCGGUGACAUUUGGGCGCCUGCCUCAGGGAGAAGGACGGGCACGCCGCGGGAACGGGCGCCGGCACCGCCGGGAGACGCUCCGGGAUCCUCCCGAGGAUCCUCCUGGGAGCCCAGGGAGCAGCUGGCGGAGCAACGCAGCCGCGCGCGG